rnacentral:lncRNA from 1 species
AGAAUCAAAUCCAUGCCAUUAGUUUCUGAUACUAUUUGUGGAUCGUAAGCGCUAACUAAUUAUUCUAAAAAAAUAUGCUAAUAAAAAGGGCGGACUAUCGUACUUAAGGGCUUAGGCACAACACUUUACGGCCUCGACAUGACUCAACUCAUCUAGAUGUUAGGUUUAUUGUUGGGUCUCUUACCAUUAAUUCUAUUAUGGAUCACAGAUCCACUCAACUUUUUAUGCUUAGCCCAAUUCUACUUAUUAGUUUCCUAAAUCUAUUAUCACAGGACAGAAAAUUUGAGCCAAUAAUAAAUAGCCAACAAAUAAUAUAUACAAUCAAUUUUUUAGUCAUUGUAUCUUAUAAU